AUUGAACGCUGGCGGCAGGCCUAACACAUGCAAGUCGAGCGGGGUUUUCGGACCUAGCGGCGGACGGGUGAGUAAUGCGUAGGAAGCUACCCGAUUGAGGGGGAUACCAGUUGGAAACGACUGUUAAUACCGCAUAAUGUCUACGGACCAAAGUGUGGGACCUUCGGGCCACAUGCUAUCGGAUGCGCCUACGUGGGAUUAGCUAGUUGGUGAGGUAAUGGCUCACCAAGGCGACGAUCCCUAGCUGGUUUGAGAGGAUGAUCAGCCACACUGGAACUGAGACACGGUCCAGACUCCUACGGGAGGCAGCAGUGGGGAAUAUUGGACAAUGUGCGCAAGCCUGAUCCAGCCAUGCCGCGUGUGUGAAGAAGGCCUUCGGGUUGUAAAGCACUUUCAGUAGGGAGGAAGCGUUGUGUGUUAAUAGUACACAGCGUUGACGUUACCUACAGAAGAAGCACCGGCUAACUCUGUGCCAGCAGCCGCGGUAAUAC
rnacentral:rRNA from 1 species